rnacentral:rRNA from 1 species
CGUACACUCCUGCGGGAGGCAGCAGUGGGGAAUAUUGCACAAUGGGCGCAAGCCUGAUGCAGCCAUGCCGCGUGUAUGAAGAAGGCCUUCGGGUUGUAAAGUACUUUCAGCGGGGAGGAAGGCAAUACGGUUAAUAACCGUGUUGAUUGACGUUACCCGCAGAAGAAGCACCGGCUAACUCCGUGCCAGCAGCCGCGGUAAUACGGAGGGUGCAAGCGUUAAUCGGAAUUACUGGGCGUAAAGCGCACGCAGGCGGUCUGUCAAGUCGGAUGUGAAAGCCCCGGACUCAACCUGGGAACUGCAUUCGAAACUGGCAGGCUUGAGUCUUGUAGAGGGGGGUAGAAUUCCAGGUGUAGCGGUGAAAUGCGUAGAGAUCUGGAGGAAUACCGGUGGCGAAGGCGGCCCCCUGGACAAAGACUGACGCUCAGGUGCGAAAGCGUGGGGAGCAAACAGGAUUAGAUACCCCAGUAGUCCCAUGAU